UACAGAGGUCCCAAGCGUUGUUCGGAUUCGCUGGGCGUAAUGGGUGUGUAGGCGGUCGGGUAAGUCUGAUGUGAAAUCUCACAGCUUAACUGUGAAACUGCAUUGGAUACUAUUCGGCUUGAGAGUUGGAGGGGGGACUGGAAUUCUUGGUGUAGCAGUGAAAUGCGUAGAUAUCAAGAGGAACACCAGUGGCGAAGGCGAGUCCCUGGACAACUUCUGACGCUGAGGCACGAAAGCUAGGGGAGCAAACAGG
rnacentral:rRNA from 1 species